AUUGAACGCUGGCGGAAGGCCUAACACAUGCAAGUCGAGCGAGCGGCGGACGGGUGAGUAAUGUAUGGGGACUGCCCGCUAGAGGGGGAUAAAUACUGGAAACGGUAGCUAAUACCGCAUACUAUCGGAUAAUCCCUAUGCGAUGAGCGAGUAGGUGAGGUAAUGGCUCACCUAGGCGACGAUCCCUAGCUGGUCUGAGAGGAUGAUCAGCCACACUGGGACGGAGACACGGCCCAGACUCCUAGGGAGGCAGCAGUGGGGAAAAUUGCACAAUGGGCGCAAGCCUGAUGCAGCCAUGCCGCGUGUAUGAAGAAGGCCCUAGGGUUGUAAAGUACUUUCAGUCGGGAGGCGUUACCGACAGAAGAAGCACCGGCUAACUCCGUGCCAGCAGCCGCGGUAAUUC
rnacentral:rRNA from 1 species